AUUGAACGCUGGCGGCAGGCUUAACACAUGCAAGUCGAGCGGGGGGAGGUAGCUUGCUACCGGACCUAGCGGCGGACGGGUGAGUAAUGCUUAGGAAUCUGCCUAUUAGUGGGGGACAACAUCUCGAAAGGGAUGCUAAUACCGCAUACGCCCUACGGGAGAAAGCAGGGGAUCUUCGGACCUUGCGCUAAUAGAUGAGCCUAAGUCGGAUUAGCUAGUUGGUGGGGUAAAGGCCUACCAAGGCGACGAUCUGUAGCGGGUCUGAGAGGAUGAUCCGCCACACUGGGACUGAGACACGGCCCAGACUCCUACGGGAGGCGGCAGUGGGGAAUAUUGGACAAUGGGGGGAACCCUGAUCCAGCCAUGCCGCGUGUGUGAAGAAGGCCUUAUGGUUGUAAAGCACUUUAAGCGAGGAGGAGGCUACUUUAGUUAAUACCUAGAGAUAGUGGACGUUACUCGCAGAAUAAGCACCGGCUAACUCUGUGCCAGCCGCCGCAGUAA
rnacentral:rRNA from 1 species